AAUUGAAACUUGGAAUGACAUUUGGCUUUCUUUGUCAAGAUUAAUUAAUUUUUAUUUAUAGUGUUGUUUUAACAUAUUUCUGUAUUUUCCAUGUUACUGAUAUUCUGGAUUGACUGAAGAUCAGCAUAGAAUUCUUGUGGAUGUACCUCAGCAAGUCCUUUUGCAGUAGUAUCCAUCAAAGUGCUAUGCAGACAUAAUGGGAACGACUGUCACAUUGCAGAGCUUGGACAACUUCACACAGGUUCUCAAGCGGAAUUCAUCAAGGACAUGACUGUUGGCGUUAUAGUAGUGGGUGACCAAAACGAGCACCAUCAAUCUGCAGUGAUGUGGUCCUGGUAAUAGAAGAAGAAGUCUUGGUUAUCUGUGGUUGUAACAUCCGUCUCAUGAAAUCAGAGACUUAGUGAAGGGCAUUGACAUGGGCAUCUUAAUUGUGACUGUGGAGAAGCAUUUGUAAGUGCUUCUAAAAUAAACCAUUGACAUUGCUAUCAUUUUGGAAGAGCAUCUUGUCCUCAUUAAUAUCUGUUAUGUCCUGAAAGCAUUUGUGCUCCUGAUGGGUCUUCUUUACAUCAUUAAAAUUGAUUACCCAAAACACAGUACAGUUUAGGGCUGUCAAAAAAAAAAUUCAAAUUUCGAAUAUUCGUCGAAUUUGAAAUAAAAAUCCACAUUCGAAUGCAAAAACGUUGCAUUCGAAUUUUAGGUGUGCGUUAAGGAGGCAGCCUUAUCAGUGGUGCACGAGAUGUGAUGACGAUGUAACAUUAACUCUUUCCCCGCCAUUGACGAGUUAUCUCAUCAUUUAGAAGACAAUGCUUCCCCGCCAAAGAUGAGUUUUUACAACUUUGUGUUUUCAUUGUUAUACCCUCGGGGGCACUAUUACACAUCUUCUGAACGAGUACAAAACCUCCCGAACAAAAAACACACGUGAACAGGACAGAAA